CGACCCCGCAGGGGAGAGUCCCGCACCGGGACGCCGAAGGAGCAACCUCCCCGGAAUCUCUCAGGCCCACGGACCCUGCGCGGUGA
rnacentral:ncRNA from 2 species